GAAUUUUAUAUAAGUUUAAUAGAAAAUUUAAUUUAAAGUUUGUUAAAUUUAUAUUUCAUUGGGAGGAUGAUUAAAUUAAAUAAACUUUAAAGUAUAUAAGCCAUUGAUUUAUGAAUUAAUGAUUAAGAAUGAUUGGAAUAAAUUUAAGUAGAAUUAAUUACCUUAGGGAUAACAGCGUUAUAUUUUUAGAGAGAUCUUAUUAAUAAAAAUGGUUGC
rnacentral:rRNA from 1 species